rnacentral:rRNA from 1 species
AAUGAACGCUGGCGGCGUGCCUAACACAUGCAAGUCGAACGAGAAAGCGGGCUUCGGCCCGUGAGUAAAGUGGCAGACGGGUGAGUAACACGUGGGCAACCUGCCCGGAGGUGGGGGAUAACGUUUCGAAAGGGACGCUAAUACCGCAUGACAUCGCGAGUGCCUCGGCGCACGCGAUCAAAGCUUGCCUCUUCUCGAAAGCAAGCGCCACCGGAGGGGCCCGCGCCCCAUUAGCUUGAUGGUGAGGUAACGGCUCACCAUGGCGACGAUGGGUAGCCGGCCUGAGAGGGUGAUCGGCCACACUGGAACUGAGACACGGUCCAGACUCCUACGGGAGGCAGCAGUGAGGAAUUUUGCGCAAUGGGCGAAAGCCUGACGCAGCGACGCCGCGUGGAGGAGGAAGGUCUUCGGAUCGUAAACUCCUGUCAAGAGGGACGAAUCCGGUAGGGAUGAAUAAGCCCUUCCGUUGACGGUACCUCUGAAGGAAGCCCCGGCUAACUCCGUG